UUGGAAUAAUUUCAGAUAUUACAAAAAAUUAGUUGAUAAAUAUAACCAUCCACCAUAUUACAAAAUCAGCAAAAAUAGUUAACAUAAAAGUCAAAAGAUCACCGAUACAAAGUUAAACUAAAAUCAUAAUGAAAAAACUUCUAUUUUAAUGUAUGAUGAUAACCACCUUUUCACAUAAGAAGCACCCUUUCAAAAACUGUCCUUUUUCGAAAACCCUACAAAGAAAGGAUAUCCAUUAGAUAACAAAAUAUUAGAAAGAAAUGUACAUGAAGUUGGAAGAGAAAAAUAAAAACUACCAAAAAAAAAAGAAAUUGGUAAUAUAAAUACGAUAUACCUUAUGGCUUAUGCAUGUGUUUGAAUGAAAUAUGGUUAUCCCAUGGUUAUUUCAUGGGAUAGACAAAAAUCCACCUCCUUCAUUCUCCUCCAAAUAUUCUUCACCCUU
rnacentral:lncRNA from 1 species